AAGUCGUAACAAGGUUUCCGUAGGUGAACCUGCGGAAGGAUCAUUACCGAGUUCAUGCCCUCACGGGUAGAUCUCCCACCCUCUGUAUACCAUACCUUUGUUGCUUUGGCGGGCCGCCUAGCUACUGGCUUCGGCUGGUAAGUGCCCGCCAGAGGACCGAAACUCUUGUAUUAUUGAGAAUUUCUGAGUGGAUUAAACAAAUAAUCAAAACUUUCAACAACGGAUCUCUUGGUUCUG
rnacentral:misc_RNA from 1 species